GAGAGAGAAGAAGCUGCUUGAAACAGUCUCGUGCACGAGCCUUGUCUCGCGAACUGCACCAAGCAGAUUGAGAUCUCCUCUCGCGUCCAUUUCGAAGAGCUGUGAUUACUUUACCCAGCCACGGAUCACGAUGGGAUAUUAAUAACCCUGCACUAGUCGACCCUCUGCACUUGGACUCACCAACACCGUGAUUGGUACUAAUACUAGUAUUACCUAGUACCAACGGUAUCGAAGAGAACUCUCUGGAUCGAGGCGUAAUGGCCCCGCCAUUACUACGCUCUCGCUAACGUUCAUACUCGAUUCUCUUCGUUAUUGCAUGUACGAGAGAAGGUGUAUAGGUAAAUGUCUGUACUAUCUAAUGACCAUGGAUGGAACAACGAAGGUGUGAACCAAAAUCAAGAUAGAUUUCGUACGAUUGAAAUUUACAUCAUUGCCGAGAUAAGUACCGCGUAACGAGCUUGACUCUUGGAGGUGCUCGUAGAGACGGUCGUUCCUCUGGUCACGAACAAACUGAAAAUCUCCAUCAUCCUCACGAAAGGUCUCUCUCUCUCUCUCUAUCUCUCUCUCUUUCUUUUCUACUGCUCUCCCUGAUACUUACUUGCCGGUGGUCUCUUACCAAAGGAGUCGGAUCAUGGGCAGCUUCAAAGAAAGCGAUCCAUCGAUCGCUAGAGAUCCCACCGAUUUCUCUCAUAUUAUUUAUCUUUUAGAAAGAAAAAAGGAUGAUCUUCUUCUUCGUUACAGUGUUCAAAAAAGUCUUAACUUGGUCUGAAGCAACGUAGUUCGGUCAUAUCAUCGAUAAUUUAUUAGGCAAUAUAUUACUGUAGUAUUGCUUUUAAAUCUAAUUUCUAAUUGUUUUAAUUGAUUUCUUUUAUUUGUAUUAAUAUUUAAAUCAAAAUACGUGCGCACGAUAUAUUUGUGUUAUAUAUUAAUAUUAUACAAUGAAGAAAUUUUCUAAUUAAUUUUAUUCGCGAAUCUAAGAAGAAAUUCUUUCGAUGCCGCGUGUCAUUUGUGAUUUCGUUCUGUAUCUAUCACCGUGGCAAUAAAUUAGAUACUGGUUUUAUGAUAGGAAACUAGAACGAAACAGAUUCGUUUCGGUGGGUAUCUUUUGUGGGUAGAAUAAGAAUUCAGAUACCACAGUGAACAAUAAUAUUGGUCUUGUUUGAAUCUCCCUUUUCCAAAUAUCUUUUAUUACCCCACUCUAGAUUUAUCCUAAAUCUAUAAAUGUCACUAUGCAGUUAUUAAUAUUUAUGCGCUGUGUUGAAAUUUUUAGAUAGAUAUUUUCGGAAAUUCGUAUGUUUCGGUAAUUUUCCUAUGAUUAUAAAAGUAAUCUAAUAGUAAUUUUAUUUGAUAUUGUUUUGAUCUAAUUUUUCACACAAACAACAAUAUUACGAUAACAAUCAUUGACACUAUUCUCAAAUCUCAAAUCUCUUUGU